rnacentral:lncRNA from 10 species
CUCUACAGCAGAGUGGAGACGUGCUGGAAUUCAGAGUUCACCACAGCGUGUCAAGGGGAAGGGAAGUUGGGAACAGCAUGUGUGAUCAGGACCUAAGGACUUCUGCCCCAGUUCAUUCAAGGGCACAGCUGAGUGCAGUUUGAAAAGGCAGAAAGAGCUGGGCACAGGUAACUGAGCAACAAUGAAUGGUCAAAUUCAUGAGCAAAAUUAGAUUUCCCCAGGAAGCCUGAUGUCUUGUUUCUGGGGAUCUAAUUCAGAAAAAGGGAGAGAAAACGGCCUCCUUGGUGUGCCCCAGAGGACCUGAUGGAGCUAACAGUGGGGCUGGGGCCGGAAGCGGGAUGCAGACCUGGGCCCCAACAAGGAUGAUGCUGGUAUGACUCAGUCUGCUGAGGUCAGGUCCUGGCAAGACAGGUUCCGACACCCCUGAAUUGUCUGCACCAGGAGAAGUGGCCGUCUCCCCGUUAUCAGAGAGAGAGCAUCUCCCCUUGCCUGGAGGCACUUCAGAGACUUCACCUGACGCAGGGAAUCUGUGCAUCUGAAGAUGGCUCCUGUCCUUUCGCAACAUGGCAGCAAGCCAUGUGUUUGAGACAUAUGCAGAGGCUGCUGCGGUGCUGAAGACCCCAGUGAGACAAUCAGAAAGAGAAAGUGCGCAGAAGAAACAUCUGCCCCCAAGUGAUGGAAAUACACCAAAGUCUGUUUUCAGGAUUGCUCUGUCGUUUUUUGGAAUAAAUUAUUUUUCUGCUUUCUACGGAACAAUACUCAAACUAAUAAAAACAAUUUAGUUAGUUGUGACAUGCUAAAGCAUGUAGUUAAAAAGCAGUAACUAGUUACAAAUAUCUAAUGGAGAAACAGUUUCCAAUAACCAUAGCUACAGAAAUUGUCAAAUAUCUAGAAUAAACUUCUAUGAAAUGAGCAGCCAUUUGUCCUACCAGAUAUUACAACAUAUAACAAAAUAAUGGAUAACAAGUAACACUAGUUGAGAUAGUCUAGGAGCAACAUAGGCUAAGGCUGGCAAAUUGAUGAAAAUGAAUUACAAGUCCAAAGACAGAUAAAAAUAUACAUGAAAUUGUAAUACAUGAUAAAGGUGGCCCCUCAAACUAGAUAAAUAAGAGUAAAUUUUUCAAUAAUUGGUCUAAUGCCUAACCAUUUGGAAAAAAAUGAAAUUUCUACUUCACACAAUAAAUCCACAUCAAUACCAGGUAACAUAAAGAUGUGAAUGUAAACUGUGAAAUUAUAAAAACUCCAAAGAAAAAUAGUUAUAUACAUUCUGGGUACGGAAGUACUUUCUAAGAAUUGUGCCAAAGACAGAAAUUGUAAAUGAAUAAAAUCAUUAGAUUUUGACAAUGUUAAGAAAUUUGUAUAUCAAAAAAAAUCUUAAAUAAAAAUAACAGGCCAGUCUGGAAGGGUAAGGGGGAAGGAGGGAUAAAGGGAAAAAAAUAUAUAAAUGUGUUUAUUACUGUGACCUGUACACCUAAAAAUGGUAAAGAUGGUAAAUUAUAUAUGCAUAUUUUACUGCAAUAAAAAAUAAAGUUAGAAAAGAAUAAACUUAUCUUUCCCUCCAAAAAAAUAUUAAUAGGCAAACAACAACAUGGGAAGAAAUAUUUGCAACUUAUAAAGGAAGCAAUGAUUUGCUAUCCGUAAUAUAUAUAAAUCAACAGAAAAAAAGAUGAAUUGUCCAACAAAAAAAUGAACAGAAGACAUGAGGAUACAAUUCACAAAAGGAAAAAUAUAAACAAAUGUUGAUGCUGAAUAAAUAGUCAAGCUCAAUAAUGACCAGAAAAAUGCAAAUUUAAAAAAAUGAGAUACCGUUGAAUACAUAGCUACAAAACUGGCAUAUUUAAUCAUGAUAAUAACUAGAAUUAAAGAAGACGUGGGGAAAUGGGUACCCUCAUGCCCUGAUGGCUUGUGUAUAAUAUACACAAACUCUUUGAAGGACCUUUUAGAAAUAAAUAACAAAAAUCUGAAUAAUAUUUAUAUAUUUUGAACCAGAAAUUACACAUCUAGCGUCCAUGUCCAGAGCAUUUAUAAAAAUAUGCAUAUUUUUGGUCCGG